rnacentral:rRNA from 1 species
UACGUAGGGCGCAAGCGUUAUCCGGAAUUAUUGGGCGUAAAGAGCUCGUAGGCGGUUUGUCGCGUCUGCCGUGAAAGUCCGGGGCUCAACUCCGGAUCUGCGGUGGGUACGGGCAGACUAGAGUGAUGUAGGGGAGAACGGAAUUCCUGGUGUAGCGGUGGAAUGCGCAGAUAUCAGGAGGAACACCGAUGGCGAAGGCAGAUCUCUGGGCCGUAACUGACGCUGAGGAGCGAAAGCAUGGGGAGCGAACAGG